GAUGAACGCUGGCGGCGUGCUUAACACAUGCAAGUCGAACGAUGAAGCCCAGCUUGCUGGGUGGAUUAGUGGCGAACGGGUGAGUAACACGUGAGUAACCUGCCCUUAACUCUGGGAUAAGCCUGGGAAACUGGGUCUAAUACCGGAUAGGAGCGUCCACCGCAUGGUGGGUGUUGGAAAGAUUUAUCGGUUUUGGAUGGACUCGCGGCCUAUCAGCUUGUUGGUGAGGUAAUGGCUCACCAAGGCGACGACGGGUAGCCGGCCUGAGAGGGUGACCGGCCACACUGGGACUGAGACACGGCACAGACUCCUACGGGAGGCAGCAGUGGGGAAUAUUGCACAAUGGGCGCAAGCCUGAUGCAGCGACGCCGCGUGAGGGAUGACGGCCUUCGGGUUGUAAACCUCUUUCAGUAGGGAAGAAGCGAAAGUGACGGUACCUGCAGAAGAAGCACCGGCUAACUACGUG
rnacentral:rRNA from 1 species